rnacentral:rRNA from 1 species
GACGAACGCUGGCGGCGUGCCUAAUACAUGCAAGUAGAACGCUGAAGAGAGGCUCUUGCUCUUCUUUCAUGAGUUGCGCACGUGUGUGUCACGCGUAUGUAACCUGCCUUAUAUCGGGGUAUAACUAUUGGAAACGAUAUCUUAUACCGCAUAACCUUGUAUUACAUAUUUCAUUUAUUUGAGUUUGGCCAUUUCUCCACUACAACAUGGACCUUCGUUGUAUUAGCUAGUAGGUGAGGUAAUGGCUCACCUAGGCGACGAUACAUAGCCGACCUGAGAGGGUGAUGGGCCAGACUGGGACGGAGACACGGCCAAGACGGCAACGAGAGGCAGCAGUAGGGAAUAUGGGGCAAUGGGGGGAAGAAUGACCGAGCAACGCCGGGUGAGUGAAGAAGGUUUGCGGAUCGUAAAACGAUGUUGUAAGGGAAGAAAGGGGGUGAGAGUGGAAAGUUCACACGGGGAAGGGAGAUGACCAGAGAAGGACGGCUAAAUAAGUG